rnacentral:rRNA from 1 species
UUGACCUCGGAUCAGGUAGGGUUACCCGCUGAACUUAAGCAUAUCAAAGU